rnacentral:rRNA from 1 species
UACGUAGGGUGCAAGCGUUGUCCGGAAUUAUUGGGCGUAAAGAGCUCGUAGGCGGCUUGUCGCGUCGGCUGUGAAAACUCGGGGCUCAACCCCGAGCCUGCAGUCGAUACGGGCAGGCUAGAGUCCGGCAGGGGAGACUGGAAUUCCUGGUGUAGCGGUGAAAUGCGCAGAUAUCAGGAGGAACACCGGUGGCGAAGGCGGGUCUCUGGGCCACUACUGACGCUGAGAAGCGAAAGCAUGGGGAGCGAACAGG